GGGGGUAUAGCUCAGUUGGUAGAGCAGCUGACUCUUAAUCAGUAGGUCGUAGGUUCGAAUCCUACUGCCCCUACCA
rnacentral:tRNA from 1 species